rnacentral:hammerhead_ribozyme from 1 species
AUCCAGCUGACGAGUCACAAACAGGACGAAACGCGUGUCCUGGAU